ACUCCUACGGGAGGCAGCAGUGGGGAAUUUUGGACAAUGGGCGAAAGCCUGAUCCAGCCAUGCCGCGUGAGUGAAGAAGGCCUUCGGGUUGUAAAGCUCUUUUAGUCGGAAAGAAAGAGUCGCAAUGAAUAAUUGUGAUUUAUGACGGUACCGUCAGAAAAAGCACCGGCUAACUACGUGCCAGCAGCCGCGGUAAUACGUAGGGUGCGAGCGUUAAUCGGAAUUACUGGGCGUAAAGGGUGCGCAGGCGGUUUUGCAAGUCAGAUGUGAAAGCCCCGGGCUUAACCUGGGAAUUGCGUUUGAAACUACAAGGCUAGAGUGCAGCAGAGGGGAGUGGAAUUCCAUGUGUAGCAGUGAAAUGCGUAGAGAUGUGGAAGAACACCGAUGGCGAAGGCAGCUCCCUGGGUUGACACUGACGCUCAUGCACGAAAGCGUGGGGAGCAAACAGGAUUAGAUACCCUGGUAGUC
rnacentral:rRNA from 1 species